rnacentral:rRNA from 1 species
GACGUGAAAUCGUUGAAGUGGAACCGGAGAGAGUUGACGUAGUAUGGUGGAUAAGUAUUGCAAGAAUCGCUUCAAACAAUGAAUGUGAUCGAGUAAUAUGUACGUCACCAAAGACUGCGCUGACAGCAUCGACUACACGCUCUGAACUGUGUUGACAUGUUGCCUAUUCUAGUAUAUAGAAUGGUGUCUUGUGUUACGUGGUGAAGUUUGUUGUUAUGUUGUUGAUGUUGAUAAGUAUGAUUAUACACCAAGUAUAAUUAUGUCAGUGUAAAAGUCAACCACCUCUCCGACCCGUCUUGAAACACGGACCGAGGAGUGUAACUUGUACGCGAGUCAUUGGGUGGAAAAACCUUAAGGCGAAACGAAAGUGAAGGCACGGUUAACCGGCUGACAUGGGAAACGUGCGGUAUUGUUAGCGAGACGUUACACCAUGGCCCUGUCUUGUCUGCAUGCAGAUGGGCAGCGGUAGAGCGUACAGGUUGCGACCCGAAAGAUGGUGAACUAUGCCUGAGCAGGACGAAGUCAGAGGAAACUCUGGUGGAAGUCCGUAUCGGUUCUGACGUGCAAAUCGAUCGAUAGACUUGGGUAUAGGGGCGAA